rnacentral:rRNA from 1 species
GGUUAAGCGACUAAGCGUACACGGUGGAUGCCCUGGCAGUCAGAGGCGAUGAAGGACGUGCUAAUCUGCGAAAAGCGUCGGUAAGGUGAUAUGAACCGUUAUAGCCGGCGAUGUCCGAAUGGGGAAACCCAGUGCAAUUCGUUGCACUAUCGUUAACUGAAUACAUAGGUUAACGAGGCGAACCGGGGGAACUGAAACAUCUAAGUACCCCGAGGAAAAGAAAUCAACCGAGAUUCCCCCAGUAGCGGCGAGCGAACGGGGAGCAGCCCAGAGUCUGAAUCAGCUUGUGUGUUAGUGGAACGGUCUGGAAAGUCCGACGGUACAGGGUGAUAGUCCCGUACACCAAAAUGCACAGGCUGUGAACUCGAAGAGUAGGGCGGGACACGUGGUAUCCUGUCUGAAUAUGGGGGGACCAUCCUCCAAGGCUAAAUACUCCUGACUGACCGAUAGUGAACCAGUACCGUGAGGGAAAGGCGAAAAGAACCCCGGCGAGGGGAGUGAAAAAGAACCUGAAACCGUGUACGUACAAGCAGUGGGAGCACCUUCGGGUGUGACUGCGUACCUUUUGUAUAAUGGGUCAGCGACUUAUAUUCUGUAGCAAGGUUAACCGUAUAGGGGAGCCGCAGGGAAACCGAGUCUUAACUGGGCGUUAAGUUGCAGGGUAUAGACCCGAAACCCGGUGAUCUAGCCAUGGGCAGGUUGAAGGUUGGGUAACACUAACUGGAGGACCGAACCGACUAAUGUUGAAAAAUUAGCGGAUGACUUGUGGCUGGGGGUGAAAGGCCAAUCAAACCGGGAGAUAGCUGGUUCUCCCCGAAAGCUAUUUAGGUAGCGCCUCGUGAAUUCAUCUUCGGGGGUAGAGCACUGUUUCGGCUAGGGGGUCAUCCCGACUUACCAACCCGAUGCAAACUACGAAUACCGAAGAAUGUUAUCACGGGAGACACACGGCGGGUGCUAACGUCCGUCGUGAAGAGGGAAACAACCCAGACCGCCAGCUAAGGUCCCAAAGUCAUGGUUAAGUGGGAAACGAUGUGGGAAGGCACAGACAGCCAGGAUGUUGGCUUAGAAGCAGCCAUCAUUUAAAGAAAGCGUAAUAGCUCACUGGUCGAGUCGGCCUGCGCGGAAGAUGUAACGGGGCUAAACCAUGCACCGAAGCUGCGGCAGCGACACUAUGUGUUGUUGGGUAGGGGAGCGUUCUGUAAGCCUGCGAAGGUGUGCUGUGAGGCAUGCUGGAGGUAUCAGAAGUGCGAAUGCUGACAUAAGUAACGAUAAAGCGGGUGAAAAGCCCGCUCGCCGGAAGACCAAGGGUUCCUGUCCAACGUUAAUCGGGGCAGGGUGAGUCGACCCCUAAGGCGAGGCCGAAAGGCGUAGUCGAUGGGAAACAGGUUAAUAUUCCUGUACUUGGUGUUACUGCGAAGGGGGGACGGAGAAGGCUAUGUUAGCCGGGCGACGGUUGUCCCGGUUUAAGCAUGUAGGCUGGUUAUCCAGGCAAAUCCGGAUAAUCAAGGCUGAGGUGUGAUGACGAGGCACUACGGUGCUGAAGUAACAAAUGCCCUGCUUCCAGGAAAAGCCUCUAAGCAUCAGGUAACAUCAAAUCGUACCCCAAACCGACACAGGUGGUCAGGUAGAGAAUACCAAGGCGCUUGAGAGAACUCGGGUGAAGGAACUAGGCAAAAUGGUGCCGUAACUUCGGGAGAAGGCACGCUGGUGUGUAGGUGAAGCCCCUGCGGGUGGAGCUGAGACCAGUCGAAGAUACCAGCUGGCUGCAACUGUUUAUUAAAAACACAGCACUGUGCAAACACGAAAGUGGACGUAUACGGUGUGACGCCUGCCCGGUGCCGGAAGGUUAAUUGAUGGGGUUAUCCGUAAGGAGAAGCUCUUGAUCGAAGCCCCGGUAAACGGCGGCCGUAACUAUAACGGUCCUAAGGUAGCGAAAUUCCUUGUCGGGUAAGUUCCGACCUGCACGAAUGGCGUAAUGAUGGCCAGGCUGUCUCCACCCGAGACUCAGUGAAAUUGAACUCGCUGUGAAGAUGCAGUGUACCCGCGGCAAGACGGAAAGACCCCGUGAACCUUUACUAUAGCUUGACACUGAACAUUGAGCCUUGAUGUGUAGGAUAGGUGGGAGGCUUUGAAGCGUGGACGCCAGUCUGCGUGGAGCCAACCUUGAAAUACCACCCUUUAAUGUUUGAUGUUCUAACGUUGGCCCCUUACCGGGGUUGCGGACAGUGUCUGGUGGGUAGUUUGACUGGGGCGGUCUCCUCCCAAAGCGUAACGGAGGAGCACGAAGGUUAGCUAAUCCUGGUCGGACAUCAGGAGGUUAGUGCAAUGGCAUAAGCUAGCUUGACUGCGAGCGUGACGGCGCGAGCAGGUGCGAAAGCAGGUCAUAGUGAUCCGGUGGUUCUGAAUGGAAGGGCCAUCGCUCAACGGAUAAAAGGUACUCCGGGGAUAACAGGCUGAUACCGCCCAAGAGUUCAUAUCGACGGCGGUGUUUGGCACCUCGAUGUCGGCUCAUCACAUCCUGGGGCUGAAGUAGGUCCCAAGGGUAUGGCUGUUCGCCAUUUAAAGUGGUACGCGAGCUGGGUUUAGAACGUCGUGAGACAGUUCGGUCCCUAUCUGCCGUGGGCGCUGGAGAAUUGAGGGGGGCUGCUCCUAGUACGAGAGGACCGGAGUGGACGCAUCACUGGUGUUCGGGUUGUCAUGCCAAUGGCACUGCCCGGUAGCUAAAUGCGGAAGAGAUAAGUGCUGAAAGCAUCUAAGCACGAAACUUGCCCCGAGAUGAGUUCUCCCUGAGACUUUAAGUCUCCUGAAGGAACGUUAAAGACGAUGACGUUGAUAGGCCGGGUGUGUAAGCGCAGCGAUGCGUUGAGCUAACCGGUACUAAUGAACCGUGAGGCUUAACCUU